AGUGAACGCUGGCGGUAGGCCUAACACAUGCAAGUCGAACGGCAGCACAGUAAGAGCUUGCUCUUACGGGUGGCGAGUGGCGGACGGGUGAGGAAUACAUCGGAAUCUACUUUUUCGUGGGGGAUAACGUAGGGAAACUUACGCUAAUACCGCAUACGACCUACGGGUGAAAGCAGGGGAUCUUCGGACCUUGCGCGAUCGAAUGAGCCGAUGUCGGAUUAGCUAGUUGGCGGGGUAAAGGCCCACCAAGGCGACGAUCCGUAGCUGGUCUGAGAGGAUGAUCAGCCACACUGGAACUGAGACACGGUCCAGACUCCUACGGGAGGCAGCAGUGGGGAAUAUUGGACAAUGGGCGCAAGCCUGAUCCAGCCAUACCGCGUGGGUGAAGAAGGCCUUCGGGUUGUAAAGCCCUUUUGUUGGGAAAGAAAAGCAGCAGGUUAAUACCCCGCUGUUCCGACGGUACCCAAAGAAUAAGCACCGGCUAACUUCGUG
rnacentral:rRNA from 1 species